rnacentral:rRNA from 1 species
GAUGAACGCUGGCGGCGUGCUUAACACAUGCAAGUCGAACGAGGUCCAACCUUCGGGUGAAGACCGAGUGGCGAACGGGUGAGUAACACGUGGGGAACCUACCCUUCUCUCUGGGAUAACGUCGAGAAAUCGGCGCUAAUACCGGAUACUCCUUGCGGAUCGCAUGGUCUGCUUGGGAAAGCUCCGGCGGAGAGGGACGGCCCCGCGGCCCAUUAGCUAGUUGGUGAGGUAACGGCCCACCAAGGCGACGAUGGGUAGCCGAGCUGAGAGGCUGAUCGGCCACACUGGGACUGAGACACGGCCCAGACUCCUACGGGAGGCAGCAGUGGGGAAUCUUGCGCAAUGGGCGAAAGCCUGACGCAGCAACGCCGCGUGCGGGAUGAAGGCCCUCGGGUCGUAAACCGCUUUCAGCAGGGAUGAAACUGACAGUACCUGCAGAAGAAGUCCCGGCUAAAUACGUGCCAGCAGCCGCGGUAAUACGUAUGGGGCAAGCGUUAUCCGGAUUUAUUGGGCGUAAAGCGCGCGUAGGCGGCUUGUUAAGUCAGAUGUGAAAUCCGGGGGCUCAACCCGCGGCUUGCAUCUGAAACUGGCAGGCUUGAGUCUGGUAGAGGAAAGUGGAAUUCCUGGUGUAGCGGUGAAAUGCGCAGAUAUCAGGAGGAACACCAGUGGCGAAGGCGGCUUUCUGGGCCACGACUGACGCUGAGGCGCGAAAGCUAGGGGAGCGAACAGGAUUAGAUACCCUGGUAGUCCUAGCCGUAAACGAUGGGCACUAGGUGUGGGGGGUCAUCGACUCCCUCCGUGCCGAAGCUAACGCAUUAAGUGCCCCGCCUGGGGAGUACGGCCGCAAGGCUAAACUCAA